GACGAACGCUGGCGGCGUGCUUAACACAUGCAAGUCGAACGAAGUGGCGAACGGGUGAGUAACGCGUAAUCAACCUGCCCUUCAGAGGGGGAUCACAGUUGGAAACGACUGCUAAUACCGCAUACUGACGGAGGGGAUUGCGUCGGAUUAGCUAGUUGGAGGGGGAACGUCCCACCAAGGCGACGAUCAGUAGCCGGUCCGAGCGGACGACCAGACACAAGGGGACUGAGACACGGCCCAGACUCCUACGGGAGGCAGCAGUGGGGAAUUUUGGACAAUGGGGGAAACCCGGAUCCAGCCAUCCCGCGUGUGCGAUGAGGGCCUUCGGGUUGUAAAGCACUUUUGGCAGGAAAGCGGUACCUGCAGAAUAAGCACCGGCUAACUACGUGCCAGCAGCCGCGGUAAUAC
rnacentral:rRNA from 1 species